CUACUUACCUGCCAGGUGAGAUAUUAUGAUCAUGAAGGUGCUUCUCCCAGGGCAAGGCUCACCUAUUGCACUCUGGGUGUGCUUCCACUGCAAUUUCCCCAAUUGUGGAAAACUUGAUUGCAUAAUUUGUGAUAGUGGGGGACUGCAUUUGUACUUUCCCCUG